AUCGCUUCUCGGCCUUUUGGCUAAGAUCAAGUGUAGGAAGCUACAUUUUUCUUAUCUGAGUUUCUUACUCAGGAAAGCAAUGAUCAAGGCUCCCAGACAAGUAUCAAAUAUCUGAAACUCACUGCAAUAUCAAAUAUCUGAUAUCAAAUAU
ensembl:snRNA U2 U2 spliceosomal RNA